rnacentral:rRNA from 1 species
GAUGAACGCUGGCGGCGUGCCUAAUACAUGCAAGUCGAGCGAACAGACGAGGAUCUUGCUCCUCUUACGUUAGCGGCGGACGGGUGAGUAACACGUGGAUAACCUACCUAUAAGACUGGGAUAACUUCGGGAAACCUGAUCUAAUACCGGAUAAUAUAUUGAACCGCAUGGUUCAAUAGUGAAAGACGGUUUUGCUGUCACUUAUAGAUGGAUCCGCGCCGCAUUAGCUAGUUGGUACGGUAACGGCUUACCAAGGCGACGAUGCGUAGCCGACCUGAGAGGGUGAUCGGCCACACUGGAACUGAGACACGGUCCAGACUCCUACGGGAGGCAGCAGUAGGGAAUCUUGCGCAAUGGGCGAAAGCCUGACGGAGCAACGCCGCGUGAGUGAUGAAGGUCUUCGGAUCGUAAAACUCUGUUAUUAGGGAAGAACAAAUGUGUAAGUAACUAUGCACGUCUUGACGGUACCUAAUCAGAAAGCCACGGCUAACUACGUG